UACGUAGGGAGCAAGCGUUGUUCGGAUUUACUGGGCGUAAAGGGCGCGUAGGCGGCCUGUCAAGUCAACUGUGAAAUCUCCGGGCUUAACUCGGAAAGGUCAACUGAUACUGCGGGGCUAGAGUGCGGAAGGGGCAACUGGAAUUCUUGGUGUAGCGGUGAAAUGCGUAGAUAUCAAGAGGAACACCUGCGGCGAAGGCGGGUUGCUGGGCCGACACUGACGCUGAGGCGCGAAAGCUAGGGGAGCGAACGGG
rnacentral:rRNA from 1 species